rnacentral:rRNA from 1 species
UUCCACCUCUUCCCAUUCCGAACAGAGAAGUUAAGCUUCGUCACGCCGAUGGUACUGCGCAAGUGGGAGAGUAGGUAGUCGCCGUCU